rnacentral:lncRNA from 10 species
ACGGCUGCCCUCAGACCCGUUGUGAAGCCCAAGAUCAUUAAAAAGAGAACCAAGAAGUUCAUCCGGCACCAGUCAGACCCAUAUGUCAAAAUGAAGCGUAACUGGUGGAAACCCAGAGGUAUUGACAACAGGGUUCAUAGAAGGUUCAAGGCCCAGAUCUUGAUGCCCAACAUUGGUUAUGGGAGCAACAACAACAAACAAACAAACAAACAAACAAAAAAACAAAAAACAAAGCACAUGCUGCUAGUGGCUUCCGCAAGUUCCUGGUCCAGAACAUCAAGGAGCUGGAAGUGCUGCUGAUGUGCAACAAAUCUUACUGUGCUGAGGUCGCUCACAAAAACCAAGAACCGCAAAGCCAUCAUGGAAAGUUCUGUCCAGCUGGCCAUCAGAGUCACCAACCCCAAUGCCAGGCUGUGCAGCAAAGAAAAUGAAUAG